GCAUGUGUGAUACCUGAAUUUGAUUUUUGGCAUCACAAAAGUUAAGAGUAAAUAAAUAUUGAUUCUCUGACUCCAGAUUUCUGAAUUGUAUUACUUAUUUAUUUUUACAGUCCUAAGCAUGAAAACCAGGGUCUUGCUUAUGCGAAGCAUGUGCUUCAUCACUUGAGCCACACACUCAACCCAGACUUCUAAAUUUUAAUCUUGAUGGAUGUCUCACAUGAAUCUGAGAACCAGCUUUCAAUGCAUGAGAGAGAAAAGUAGAAGACCAGAGGAAAGGUAAGGUUGGAAGAAAGCAAGAGGAAAGGAGAUAGGCCCCAGUGACCCCUCUGCCCCCACAAUAAAUCAUAUCCUC